GGACACAAAAAGAGCAACACAAAACCCAAUCAACAACAACCAGAGAAGAAGUUUAAAGCAAUACCUGGAUUGAACUGGCACGGAUAGCGCGGCCGUGAUAGAGAAAAAACCCAGCAAGUGGAUACUCCGGACACGAGAGGUGUGAGCAAAGUUCAGAGAGGGGGUUAGUUAACGACGGAGAGAUGAAUAACAAAAUGAUGAUGAUUUAAGUCUAGGGAUUUGAAACGAAAAGGGAAAAAUGAAAGCAUUUAAGUGAUGGGGACGCCAGCUCACUCACCGCAUAUCGAGGACAGAUAGCCCGUCGUUUCAAAUUUCAAAUACGAAGAGUCUGGAGAUGCCACGUCACUAACCGUUACCAGGGGCCAGGCCAGAUGCAGG
rnacentral:lncRNA from 1 species